rnacentral:tRNA from 1 species
GCUGCGGUAGCUCAGUGGUAGAGCACUCCCUUGGUAAGGGAGAGGUCGAGGGUUCAAUCCCCUCCCGCAGCACCA